UACAGAGGUCUCAAGCGUUGUUCGGAUUCAUUGGGCGUAAAGGGUGCGUAGGCGGCGCGGUAAGUCGGGUGUGAAAUCUCGGAGCUUAACUCCGAAACUGCAUUCGAUACUGCCGGUGCUUGAGGACUGGAGAGGAGACUGGAAUUCAUGGUGUAGCAGUGAAAUGCGUAGAGAUCAUGAGGAAGACCAGUGGCGAAGGCGGGUCUCUGGACAGUUCCUGACACUGAGACGAAGGCCAGGGGAGCAAACGGG
rnacentral:rRNA from 1 species